UGUAUGAGAGCAUGCGUCGUAACGACGACUUUUGCAUAUUAUAAAGUGAUUCGCAAAGGGCACAACCCUCAUAAAGACUCUUUACCACCGACCUAUCAAAUAUUACCUAUCACGCUCAGCUGGUUCGUGUGAUUGAGAUCUGAAAAUGUCAAAAACUGUAUUUCUCAUGGCCUGCAUCAUCGCUGCUUUUGCUCAUACAAGUUGCAGUGAAGUCCUUUCUGAAAAUGAUUCUCAAACGGGAGGAAAUGAAUAUCACAUCACACUUGAUUCUGGAGAGCGUUUGGCCUACGUUAGCAAUCCUAUGAUUGUAUACAAACCAGUGUAUUUUAGCCAGGUACACAGUUUGGGGACCACUCCUCUUCGGAUUAAAAAGUUGCUAUUUGGUUAUUCUUGGUGGCUCACCCUAAAAAGUAUUGGAUCAAAACCACAGUGUCUGCACAUUGGAAAAAAUUCGCAACUAUUCAUGGGGGAUUGCGAAAGAGAAGAAUUCGAAGCAGUUAACUUUCUGUAUAAUCCAACCGAGCAGAAGAUCUUCAGCAUGGUCGAUGACAAAGAAUGUCUGGUGAAAGGCGCAAAUGGGGAGGCAAAGCUUUCAGAGAAUUGUGACAUCAAUUAUUCUUUAAUUAAUGCUGCUUAAAACGUGUGAUUUUGACAGUUAAGUUUUCUUUUGGUCUUACUAUAGUGACAUGUAAUAGAAGUAAAAAUAAAUAUUCUUUCCUCUUGGAUUUUGGUUUCAAGAUGUCGUUA